AUUGAACGCUGGCGGCAGGCCUAACACAUGCAAGUCGAACGAGUGGCGGACGGGGGAGUAAUGUCUGGGAAACUGCCUGAUGGAGGGGGAUAACUACUGGAAACGGUAGCUAAUCCCGCAUACCAUCAGAUGUGCCUAGAUGGGAUUAGCUUGUUGGUGGGGUAACGGCUCACCAAGGCGACUAUCCCUAGUUGGUCUGCGAGGAUGACCAGCUACACGUGGACGAAGGCACGGUCCAGACGCAUACAGUAGGCAGCAGUAGGGAAUCUGGCACAAUGGGCGCGAGCCUGAAGCAGCCAUACCGCGUGUAUGAAGAAAGCCUUCGGUUUGUAAAGUACUUUCAGCGGGGAGGCGUUGCCCAAAGAAGAAGCACCGGCUAACUCCGUGCCAGCAGCCGCGGUAAUAC
rnacentral:rRNA from 1 species